UUGGAGGGCAAUCUGGUGCCAGCAGCCGCGGUAAUUCCAGCUCCAAUAGCGUAUAUUAAAGUUGUUGCAGUUAAAAAGCUCGUAGUUGAAUUUCGGGGUUCUACCGUUGGUCGGGCUUUGUCUGUACUGGUGUGUAGAAUUUCUACCUUCUGGGGAACCAUCAUGCUAUUAAUUUAGCGUGGUGGGAAACCAGGACCUUUACCUUGAAAAAAUUAGUGUGUUCAAAGCAGGCUUAUGUCUGAAUACAUUAGCGUGGAAUAAUAGAAUAGGACGGUGGUCCUGUUUUGUUGGUUUCUGAAUCACCGUAAUGAUUAAUAGGGAUAGUUGGGGGCAUUAGUAUUCAAUUGUCAGAGGUGAAAUUCUUGGAUUUAUUGAAGACUAACUUCUGCGAAAGCAUUUGCCAAGGAUGUUUUCAUUAAUCAAGAACGAAAGUUAGGGGAUCGAAGACGAUCAGAUACCGUCGUAGUCUUAACCAUAAACUAUGCCGACUAGGGAUCGGACGAUGUUAAUUUUUCUUGACUCGUUCGGCGCCUUACGGGAAAC
rnacentral:rRNA from 1 species